rnacentral:rRNA from 1 species
UACGUAGGGGGCUAGCGUUGUCCGGAAUCAUUGGGCGUAAAGAGCGUGUAGGCGGCCCGGUAAGUCCGCUGUGAAAGUCGGGGGCUCAACCCUCGAAUGCCGGUGGAUACUGUCGGGCUAGAGUGCGGAAGAGGCGAGUGGAAUUCCUGGUGUAGCGGUGAAAUGCGCAGAUAUCAGGAGGAACACCGGUGGCGAAGGCGGCAUCCUGGACCGAUACUGACGCUGAGGAGCGAAAGCGUGGGGAGCAAACAGG